ACGGCUACCUUGUUACGACUUCACCCCAGUCAUGAAUCACAAAGUGGUAAGCGCCCUCCCGAAGGUUAAGCUACCUACUUCUUUUGCAACCCACUCCCAUGGUGUGACGGGCGGUGUGUACAAGGCCCGGGAACGUAUUCACCGCAACAUUCUGAUUUGCGAUUACUAGCGAUUCCGACUUCACGCAGUCGAGUUGCAGACUGCGAUCCGGACUACGAUAUGCUUUAAGAGAUCCGCUCACUGUCGCCAGCUUGCCUCCCUCUGUACAUACCAUUGUAGCACGUGUGUAGCCCUACUCGUAAGGGCCAUGAUGACUUGACGUCGUCCCCACCUUCCUCCGGUUUAUCACCGGCAGUCUCCCUAGAGUUCCCACCAUUACGUGCUGGCAACUAAGGAUAA
rnacentral:rRNA from 1 species